UACAGAGGGGGCAAGCGUUGUUCGGAAUUACUGGGCGUAAAGGGCGCGUAGGCGGCCUUCUAAGUCGAACGUGAAAUCCCCGGGCUCAACCCGGGAACUGCGUCCGAUACUGGAAGGCUUGAAUCCGGGAGAGGGAUGCGGAAUUCCGAGGUGUAGCGGUGAAAUGGCGUAGAUAUCUGGAGGAACACCGGUGGCGAAGGCGGCAUCCUGGGCCGGCAUUGACGCGUGAGGCGCGAAAGCCAGGGGAGCAAAGCGGG
rnacentral:rRNA from 1 species